rnacentral:lncRNA from 1 species
AAAAAUUCAUGAGAAAAAGAAAAAGAAAAGAAGAAAAGCAUGAAGAAGAGCUCAAUGCAAAAGAAAAAGAAGAGGGAAAAGUUGGGAAUGAGAGACAUUGGUGAGAGAGUUGUGCUUAAAUGUUGAAUAUUUUGAUAGCUCUCUUGACUGAAGGAUUUUGCAUUCUAGAAAAACCAAUUCUUUCUUGUUAGCCCAACCUCAUUACAAGCCUUGGAAAAGUCAUUUUGAUGGCAUUUUCAUGUAAAGAUGUUGAUUUUUUGAGAUGAAU